GUUUUCCUGUGGCUCCGUCAGUAGAGCAUUAUGCUAGCAACACAACGGUUGUGGGUCCAAAUCCCAAGGAAACCA